UAACAAGGGUUGCCACAGUUACCAUUGUUCUCUCAUAAAAUUCCAGAAUGAGAAAACCAUGGGGUGUGUGUUUGUGUGUGUGUGUGUGUGUGUGUGUAUGUAUGCAUCUGUGUGUGUAUGUGAAUGUGUAUUUGGGCUUAAUCUGCAAUAGCAACUUAAGCUCAGAAUAAGUGAAUGGGUUGUCAAAGUGGGCAUUAGCAGUGAGAGACCAAGAGUCUGGACAACAGGGAUUCACUGAUUGGGCUAGAAGACCCAGUCAUGAAGGUACUAGAAAGUGGGUCAAAGGAAGCACAACUCAGGUUCUAGAAGCCUUGGCAAUGGAUAGAAGCAACACAGGCCUAGGAGCAACACAGACCUUGAUAGUGAUGUCAUAGUGUGAAAACUUCCAUUUGGAAAUCUGGGAGCAGUUCCUAAGUCAAAAAACAGACCUGGAAUCACAGUAUCCAUACAUACCAGUUGGAGGACAAAAUACAUUGCCCCAGAGACCAGAGGCACCAAAAUAUACUACACCUAGCUACCUGAGAAUGCCUCUAGCUGGCAACUCCAGCAAAGGCCCUUUUCCCCAUCCUUGACCAUCUUGAGUGAAAGCAAAGAACUGAAAGAUUGAAAAAUCUGAGACUGAGCGUUCCUUCCUGGAGAGACUCGUACCAUAUCAACCAGAUUGGAUAUGUAUUUAUUUUUCUUUUCUGCCAUUCAGCAUGUGGCAAA
rnacentral:lncRNA from 1 species